rnacentral:lncRNA from 1 species
AUGGGAGAACGUGUAGCGUUGGAAUUAGAAUUAAGAUUGUUAAAUGACGUAGCUUUUAUAGGUAUAGAAAACAGUGGAAAAACCUCUUUAUGUAGUAGUCUUAGUAAUUAUUUUGGUAAUAUAAACAAUGAUAUUUAUACAACUACCAUUCCUCAUGUAUCUUAUAUUAAUUAUAUUGAUGGAGUGGAAAUACCAUUAUUAGAUACUCCAUUUUUAUUUUACAAUGCACAUAAAGAUAAAGAAAGAGGAAAAAGAAUUUUAAGACAUUUAUAUCGAACUAAAUUAAUAGUUUAUGUAAUUGAUGUAUCUAAUGAUCAGUUACAAAAUAUAGACGAUUUGCAAUUUGAAGAUUAUUAUAUGACUACUUUGAAAAAAAAUAUAAAUAAUAAUAAUUAUGAAGAAGCAGAAAAAGACGAAGAAGAAUUACGCACAAUAUUUAAUAACAAUGAUACUACUACUUUUACUGGUGAAGUUAAAACGAUUAAAUUUGAUUCUCCAGAGGAACUACAUCCUGAUGAACAAUACGAAGAUUCUUAUCAAAAUAAUAUAUAUACAAAGCAAAGUGAUUUAUAUUAUGAAGCUGUAGUAAAUACUAAUCAAAAUGGAGUUAAUAACAACGGAGUUAAUAACAACGGANNNNNNNNNNUAAAAAUGAUAGGAGAAAACAAAAGAGAGAGAGAAAACAACAAUUUGAAAAAUUAUUAUAACGAUACAAUUAAACAAAUAAAAAUGUUAAGAAAUGAAUUAUUUUUAUACAAUCCUGAAUAUUUAAAAAAAAAAGAAUUAGUCGUAGCAACGAAAUGUGAUAUGUUACAUAAAAAUACCUUAAUCAAUUUAGAUUCUUUAUAUUUUCGAUUGAAAAAUAUUUUCCCUGAUAUAGAAGUUAUAGGUACAUCGGCAAAAUUUGGAUUAGGUAUAAAACUGUUAAGUAAAAAAAUAAGAGAACUUAUUUAUCCGCAACAUGUAUUACAAAAUACAAAAUUAUAUGCAAAAAAUAUUGAAGACUAUGUUAUACCAUCUUAUGAUCAUUAUAUUAAAGGAAAAAAUAAAUUAAAAAAUUAUGAUCUACCUGAUCAUAUUAAACAUAUGUAUGAUCAUAAUUAUAUGGAAAAUAUGAAUUUCUUUUUAAAAAAAAAAAAAAAAAAACCGGUGUCAACAAUGACGAGAGGUUACAAAUAG